UGUGUAAGUCUGAGUGGUACGACUUUUCCGACACCAUACGAGAAGCAAUGAUUUUAAAAGCAGUUGAUAUAUUAACAUUAACUCGAAUUAUGUUAACUAGGCUAUACAGGCUGAGAAAAUACAUAAUAAUCCACUCAAUACAGGCUUAGGUAAUGCGUAAGUCUGAUCGGUACGACUUUUCCGACACCAAACAAAGAGUGAUGAUUUUAAAAGCAGUUGCUAUAUUAACAUUAACUCAUAUUAUGUUAACUAGGCUAUACAGGCUGAGAAAAUACAUAAUAAUCCACUCAAUACAGGCUUAGGUAAUGUGUAAGUCUGACCGAUACGACUUUUCUGACGCCAAACAAAAAGUGAUGAUUUUAAAAGCAGUUGAUAUAUUAACAUUAACUCAUAUUAUGUUAACUAGGCUAUACAGACUGAGAAAAUACAUAAUAAUCCACUCAAUACAGGCUUAGGUAAUGCGUAAGUCUGACCGAUACGACUUUUCCGACACCAAAUGAAAAGUGAUGAUUAAAAAGCGCAAUCGAUAUAUUAACAUUAACUCAUAUUGUGUUAACUCGGCUAUACAGACCGAGAAAAUACAUAACAAUAGCCUAGAUGACACAGUACAAGCGUAGGUAAUAUAUAUCGCGACCCGUACGACUUUUCCGGCAAAAUACGAGAAGAAGUUACGAUUCAAAACCAGAGUCGGGGUUACGGAGCGACGAGGGAACGGCCGGCAGCGACUUCAAGGCUACGGGAGUGUACUGUACAUAACUAUAUACCGGUUUGUGCUUGUCUGUUUAUGCGUACGUAUCCAUGCGGGUGCCAGGCCACGCGCAUGUGUUCGUACAGAAGGAAGGUUAUCAAUACAUGCAUCGGUGUGUGUGUGUGUAUGUAUAUUCUUUGGUAGCGAUGUAGCGUGACACAAUUGGGUUGAAAGGGCGUGAGCUGCCCCUUCGUUUCUCCCUGUUACAACCAACCUGUACACAAUAAAGCUGUAAAGUUA